GGAUGUCUUAGCUCAGGCUAUUGAUGACAAGUCUGUGGCCACAAGCCAAAAGGAGCUGAAGCAGGUCCUCUCCCUUCUUCAGGACCUGAUAUAAUCCUAUCAGCAACUCGUAACAUGAGGUAUUAUAAGGAGAGGAGAAGUAGGAACGGAAGAAAGAAGCAGAGAGAAGCAAGCUGGGAGGGAAGUGUGAUUUAUUGCUCUGAUGUCAUAAUCUCCCAGUUUAUCAGCUAUGUCAUAAUCCCACUACUCAGUAGUAAGUACUUCAUAGGGCAGCAGAGAGGAAUGUGAAGAGCAGAGAGGGAGAAAGAUGACGAGGGGAAAGGAUCACGGGGAAGAAAGGAGGAAUCAGAGACCUCUGAAGUUCCAAGUCAACUGAUGUGCAUUAAGAAACAUUAGCUAAGCCAUUUACAGCAGGAUCACAAAUGUGCCUGUGAGUGUGAUGUUAAGACAAAACCUCUCUUUAACCAUAGACCUGUCAAUGAUCCAAAUCCUCAACCUUGCUCUGUGUGUACUUCUGCUCAGGAAGGCCACCGGACAUUUACUGUGUGUAACUCUGAUAAGUUGCUAGUAUGUGCUUUUAAUAUGUCCUGUACAGUGCACAAAACGUUAUAGGACAGGGAAUCAGG